UGCAAGAGCUGUAGUGUCCUCCCAGGGG
rnacentral:piRNA from 1 species